GUGCUCAUUUGGGCAACAUAUAUGCUAAAAUUGUAUAGAUAAAGAGAAGAUUAGCAUGUUCCCUGAACAAGGAAGAUAUAUAAAUUCAUGAAGUGUUCCAUAUUUUU